CUGAACUGCAAAUUCAGAACAGAAAGAAAAUAAAUUGUCAUUAUAAUCGUCAUUAUAUGUGCAUUUACCAUUUGAAGACAUCGUGGUAUCGAGUGGAUGACUGAUGCCACACGAUUCAUCAGAUGAAUCCAGGAGAUCAAGAUGCUAUUAAGAAAAAGUGGCAGUAAUGUAAGCUCUGAGGAGUUAGAAGUAAAAAAAAAAAAAAAAAAAAU